UACACACCAUAAAACAUUAAUUAAAAUGCAAACUUGGUAAUCAUUAGAAAUGUCAAGAGUAGCAACAAACACUUAGUAGUUAAAUGAAAUAAUAGCUAAGGAGCCAAGUGCACAUCAAGGUCAUUUUAGAAUAUUUGCUGACCAGUCAGUGCUAUUAUCAUCUAUAAAAGGAAUGUCCUUUGUACAGCAAAAGUAUCCAAAGGAAAAAUGCCACCAUCUCAGCUUAUAGAAGAAGAUUUGUGGAAACCAGAUUAAGAACUCCUGCUUGGGAUAGAAGUGGAACCAAGAAAAAAUAUGUACAAUGACUGAAAUAAUGAAUAAUAAAGUGGAAGAAUUCCAUGGAGACUGGAACGACCUCCAGGAAGUGAUGCAGAGCGAGAGGAGCAGAACCAGGAGAACAUUAUACACAGAGACUGAUACACUGUGGUACAAUCUAAUGUAAUGGACUUCUCUACUAGCAGCAAUGCAAUGAUCCAGGACAAUACAGAGGAACUUAUGAGAAAGAACACUAUCCAUAUUCAGAGGAAGAACUAUGGCAAGAAUCUGAGGUCACAGAAGAGACUGGCCAGUCAACAACUGAGGUAGGCUUUACUUUCUAUCCAAAUGAAAUAUUUGUUGGG
rnacentral:lncRNA from 1 species